UUCUGACUGCCACGGAUUUCACUGAGCC
rnacentral:piRNA from 1 species